GAACGCUGGCGGCGUGCUUAACACAUGCAAGUCGAACGAGAACGGAUUAUAGCUUGCUAUAAUUGUCAGCUAAGUGGCGCACGGGUGAGUAAUAUAUAGAUAACCUGCCCUCUAGAAAGGAAUAACAGUUGGAAACGACUGCUAAUGCCCUAUAUGCCUUUAAUACAUAAGUAUGCAAGGGAAACGCUUUAGUGCUAGAGGAUGGGUCUGUAUGGUAUCAGCUUGUUGGUGAGGUAAUGGCUCACCAAGGCUAUGACGCCUAACUGGUUUGAGAGGAUGAUCAGUCACACUGGAACUGAGACACGGUCCAGACUCCUACGGGAGGCAGCAGUAAGGAAUAUUGGGCAAUGGACGGAAGUCUGACCCAGCCAUCCCGCGUGCAGGACGAAUGCCCUAUGGGUUGUAAACUGCUUUGUUUGGGAAGAAAUGUAUUCUUUAAGAGUAUUUGACGGUACCAGACGAAUAAGCACCGGCUAACUACGUG
rnacentral:rRNA from 1 species